rnacentral:lncRNA from 1 species
UUCAAGAUUCAAAAAAGAUUAUCUUAAUUACUCACCAUAAUCUUUUCAAUCUAAUUCUCCUACUCCUGCUCCAACUUUAACUUCAACUCUAACUCCUUGUUUUCUCUGUAAAAGGAAAAUACUUAACUUAAAUAGAAAGGAGGAAGGUAACAAAAAAAAAAAUAGGCUUGAGAAGCGAAGCUGAGGCAGCUUUUACACAUACCAAAUGACCCCUGAAGCUCGUCUUCUUGGACGAGACCAACCUCACACCAUUCCCCCUUCAUCAAGCUCACACAAACACGACCAGUUGCAGAACAACCAUUAAUCUGUUUAAAGUCAAUCCGAACUCCAGCCAAUAACCAGUCCAAACGUUCAAGCUCUGUUUCAGCGAUGUAAAGCCAUCGGAGCUUGGUGAGUUUCUUGAGUCGGCUUUGAGUUUCCGGCGAUUUAGUUGAGUUUCUGGUCGAGUACUUGUUUGCUCGCCGAUUCGAGUUGAAGUCUCCAUUCGAGAGUCAUGGUGUCGAUGAAUUCUGUCCGAGGUCCGAUUCGCACUUCUGCUGAUUUUUUCCGGUUGAUAAUCGAUAUUUGUUGUUGAAAGCUUUCGCUCUUCAUUUGGAUAAAAAUGUAAUCCCGAAGUUCCUCUAGUCUGAAUGAAACUUUUGCCAUGAAGGUCCAUCUCUUCAUUCUCUUAUUACUCCUUUAAUUUGGUGAUAUAAAAUAAGAUAUUGAGUUUUGGUUUAUAUUGCAUUAAACAUGAAAUCUCUACUAUUGCUGUUGUUGCAUUUUCAGCUGGAACCUGUUAGUUUUACUUUGAUUGUGGUGGUGAAUGAACAUAUUAUUUUAUAUGUUUAGGAAAGCUUCACUAAGUUCUUUUAUCUUGAAUAUUCAUUUUGUUUGCGGUUGAGAUGUAAUCUUUUGUUAGGUAUGUCCUAAUUCAAUUUGCCAAAAUUACUUACGGUGUAGAUAGUUAAAUACUAUUCUCACGUUUUCAGACUCUCGUGCACAUAUUAAAAAUGAUUCUUGUGAACUUAUGUUUAGUGCAAGACAGUUUGGAAUUACUUUACGCUUAAUUGUUUAAUUCAUGUCUAAAUGUGUGGAAUGAAUUCUAUUAGCUUGAGUACUGUAUUUAUGAGAUUAAAAAAACUUUUUCUCAAUUUACCUCAAACGCCUCGUUGACAUAUAUCAUGCUAUUAUGUGUGAAUUAAUAAGAUCAUGCUCAUUAUAGAACGUAGUUUGCUUUAGUCAUGUGAUCGUGGAUACGUUCGCAUGAUACGAUUACGAUUUCUAAAAAAACAAAAUUGGAGUAUGCGUUCGCGCAACUUCGGUUAAACUUUCUUAAUAGUAAUAAAACAUUAUUAAUUGUGGACAUGUUCGCGUGACAUGAUUUUUAGCGCGCCAAACAAAUUGGUAUACGUAUGCGUAACCCGUUUCAAGAUAUUUUUUUUUUAAUUUAAAGAGGCAAAAAAAGCAAAAGUACAUAGGUCCCGAAAUCAAUAAUUAAAUUUUAAUAAGCCAAGUAUGAUCAAAGCGACCAUGCUAGAACAACGGAACUCGGGAAUGCCUAACACCUUCUCCCGGAUUAACAGAAUUCCUUACCCAGAUUUCUGUGUUCGAAGACCGUAAUUAGUGUCAAAUUUCCUCAAUUCAGGAUUUUAAACCGGUGACUUGUGACACCAUAAAUUAUUCCAAGUGGCGACUCUAAUUUUUAAUAAAAUGAUCCCAUUCCGAUCGUCACUUCAAGUUGGAAAAUAACUCCCUUUAUUAUACCCUUUCGGUGGUGUAGUAAGUGAAAAAGGAGGUGUGACAAAUGGUUCUCAUAAUUAAUAUUAAAAAGGGGCUUGAUCCUAGGACCUUGUUUCUUAGGUGCGACUAUAAAUAGUGAGCUCUAUUAUCAUUGUAAAGGGGAUGAAUUUCCUGGCAAAUGUACUGUAACGAAAUGGCUAGUUGUUUCAUGAGUUACAAUCCCUUUUCCCCCAUUUAUGCUUCUUUAUGUGUUGUUCAGCUGCAUUUGGUCAUAUCAUGUUGGUUGGUUUGGGUUUGGAGUGGUCUUGAAGUGGAAUGGGACACUUAGUCUCUAAUUUAGAAGUUUAAGUCGGAAAAGUCAAUAGGAUAUUGACUUAUAUAUAGAAGAUCUCAGAUGUGAUUUGUGAUGGUUCGGAUAGCUCCGCUAGGUGAUUUUGGUCUUAGAAGCGUGUUCGGAAUGUAAUUUAGAGGUCCGUGGUAGAAUUAGACUUGAAUUGGCGAUAUUGAAAAUUUGGAGUUUUCCAGUUGGUAGUGGAAAUCUUUAUAUUGGGGUCGGAAUGGAAUUUCAAGAGAUGGAGUUGGUCCGUAAUGUCAUUUUUAACGUCUGUCCAAAAUUUCAGGUCAUUCGGAGGUGAUUUGAUAGGUUUCAGUGCUGUUUGUGGAAUUUAAAAGUUUUUAAGUUCUUAGGCUUGAAUCCGAGGUUUAUUUGGUCUUUUGCUAUUGUUUUGAGUGAUUCGAAGGCUCGAAUAAGUUUGAAUGUUGUUAUGGGAUGUGUUGGCAUAUUUGGUUGAGUUCCCGGGGGCUUCGGGUGAGUUUUUCGCUGGCUAACAGACCGAUGCUUGAUUUUGGAAGUUGACAAAUUUUCUGGUAUUUUGUUGCAGGGAAUUCCUUCAUCGCGUUCGCGAGAGGGCUCUCGCGUUCGCAAAGAGAUGUUAAGAGGGGCAACUGGGUUGUUCUUCGCGUUCGUGAUGUAGUCUCGCAUUCAUGAAGAUUCAUUAGUUUAAGGCUACGCAUUCACGACCAGUGCAUCGCGUUCGCGUAGAGUCUACGGUUAUUUGGAGCUUUAGGCUAAUAACCCUACGCGUUCGCAUGGUGUAUUCUGCAUUUGCAUAAGGUCAAGCAAAGUGGUCCUCGCAUUCGAGAGUGGGUCCUUGCAUUCAUGAAGAAGGGGCUUUUGGUCUGAGGCAGCUUGUGCUUUCCAAACGCGAGGGUACUACCGCGUUCGCAAAGAGGGAGUCAUCUGGGCGGAAUGUUUAAGUUCAAAAAUGAGGGUUUGAGUUCAUAAUUUCAAAAUUCAAUAGAGAGCUCGGGAGAAGGCGAUUUUAGAGGGAAUUUUCAGUGUAGUGAUUAAGGUAAGUGUUCCUCAUGUGUUUUUGGUUAAAUUCCAUGAUUGUGUCUUGAUUUUUCUAACAUCUAAAUUGGGAAUUUGUGGUGAUAAUUAGGAAAAAAGUGGAGGAUAAUUGGAAAGUAAAUUUUAGGUACUUCGAUGACCAUUUGACGUUGGAUUUUGGUGAAUUUGAUAUGGGUAGACUCCUAGUGAAUGUUCUUUUUAGUUUGUGAUUUUUAUCUAAUUCCGAGACGUGGACCCGGGGGUUUGAGCCAAAUUCAAGAUUUUUGGUCUAAUUUGAUGAUUUUCGUGUGUGUUUCAUUUCUUUAGCAUAUAUUGAUGAUAAUAUACUAAUUUUGGUUAGAUUCAGAGCAUUUGGAAGCCGAAUCGAGAGGCAAGGGCAUCUGAGGUUAGAGUUUUGGCUUGGUUUAAGGUAAGUAACGCUUCUUAACUUGGUUUUGAGGGUUCGAAACCCGGAUGUUGUGCUAUAUGAUUUUUACUGAGGUGACACAAAUGCCAAGUGACGGACGAAUGGGCGUGCACCGUAAGAAUUGUGGCCAGGUUCAUUCCAUGGCACCGCUUAAUGACUCUUUCUCGCUGAUAUUUUUGUUGUCAUUAAGUAAAAGAACUAUAAAUCAUGCUAAUUAUCAUGUUAGG